ACGAGAAGACCCCAUGGAGCUUCAAACCCAACUACACCCCUAGCUCUUAUAGCCCCACAACCCCCCUAGGCACCGUGUGCUUGGUUUUAGGUUGGGGCGACCGCGGAGUACAAUAAAACCUCCACAAUGAAUGGGAACACCCCCUUAUCUGAGGGCCACACCCCCUAAGAAUUAGAACACUAACAUAAAAUGAUCCAUUAUUUGAUCAAUGAACCAAGUUACCCUGGGGAUAACAGCGCAAUCCAUUUCAAGAGCCCCUAUCGACAAAUGGGUUUACGACCUCGAUGUUGGAUCAGGGUACCCCAGUGGUGCAGCAGCUACUAACGGUUCGUUUGUUCAACGAUUAAAACCCU
rnacentral:rRNA from 1 species